rnacentral:lncRNA from 1 species
AUCUCGCUAGCCCUGCGCCCGACUAGCGGGCUUCUGGGAACUUGGCAGACGCAGCUUAGAGAGACUCACCAGCGAGCGUCAUUGUUGUCUUUCUGGGAACUCAUUCCCAUGAGAUCAGAACCUCUUCGAAAAAAGAAGAAGGUAGAUCCUAAAAAAGACCAAGAAGCAAAGGAGCGCUUGAAAAGGAAGAUCCGAAAACUGGAAAAGGCUACUCAAGAGCUAAUUCCUAUUGAAGAUUUUAUUACCCCUCUAAAGUUCUUGGAUAAAGCAAGCUUCUUUGCAGAGAGCGGCCUCAGGUGGAGCUCACCUUUGAGGAGACUGAGAGGAGAGCUCUGCUUCUGAAGAAGUGGUCCUUGUACAAGCAGCAAGAGCGUAAGAUGGAGAGGGACACCAUCAGGGCUAUGCUAGAAGCCCAGCAGGAAGCUCUGGAGGAACUGCAACUGGAAUCCCCGAAGCUCCAUGCUGAGGCCAUCAAGCGGGAUCCUAACCUGUUCCCCUUUGAGAAGGAAGGGCCACAUUACACACCACCGAUCCCUAACUACCAACCCCCUGAAGGCAGGUACAAUGACAUCACCAAGGUGUACACACAAGUGGAGUUUAAGAGAUAGACUUGCAGGCUGCUAUCCUUAACAUGCUGCCCCUGAGAGUAGGAAUGA